rnacentral:rRNA from 1 species
AUACGGAGGAUCCGAGCGUUAUCCGGAUUUAUUGGGUUUAAAGGGUGCGCAGGCGGCCAUUUAAGUCAGCGGUUAAAUCGUGGGGCUCAACCCCAUUCUGCCGUUGAUACUGGGUGGCUUGAUUGCGGUCGAGGUUGGCGGAAUUCGUUGUGUAGCGGGUAAAUGCAUAGAUAUGACGAAGAACACCGAUUGCGUAGGCAGCUGACCAGACCGCAAAUGACGCUCAUGCACGAAAGUGCGGGGAUCGAACAGGAUUAGAUACCCUGGUAGUCCGCACAGUAAACGAUGAAUACUUGUUUUCGGCGAUAUAAUGUCGGAGGCAAUGCGAAAGCGAUAAGUAUUCCACCUGGGGAGUACGCCGGCAACGGUGAAACUCAAAUGAAUUGACGGGG